rnacentral:rRNA from 1 species
UACGUAGGGGGCAAGCGUUAAUCGGAAUUACUGGGCGUAAAGCGUGCGCAGGCGGUCUUGCAAGACAGAUGUGAAAUCCCCGGGCUCAACCUGGGAGCUGCAUUUGUGACUGCAAGGCUGGAGUGCGGCAGAGGGGGAUGGAAUUCCGCGUGUAGCAGUGAAAUGCGUAGAUAUGCGGAGGAACACCGAUGGCGAAGGCAAUCCCCUGGGCCUGCACUGACGCUGAUGCACGAAAGCGUGGGGAGCAAACAGG